rnacentral:rRNA from 1 species
AUCCAAGCGUUAUCCGGAUUUAUUGGGUUUAAAGGGUCCGUAGGCGGACUGGUAAGUCAGCUGUGAAAGUUUGCGGCUUAACCGUAAAAUUGCAGUUGAUACUGUCAGUCUUGAGUGUGCAUGAGGUGGGCGGAAUUUGUGGUGUAGCGGUGAAAUGCUUAGAUAUCACGAGGAACUCCAAUUGCGAAGGCAGCUCACUGGGGCAUAACUGACGCUGAUGCACGAAGGUGUGGGUAUC